UCCUCUUUCUCUCUCCUUUUCUCUUUCUCUUUCUUUCUUUCUAUUUUUCUAUUUCCUUCUCAGUCACACUGACGUCGCUACUGCGACGACCGGCGCAUCCCUCGUCUUUCCAUUUUCAACGCCGCAGAAAAGUGCAGCCCCAUCUGUAUUAUCCUCCACUACUCCAUCCUAUCUACGCUCCUCCCCGCACCUCAACUAGCUAACCACAAAAAACCACCCCUACCGCUCGUCACCCCUCGUCGAGAACAAGUGGUGGAAAGGCCGAGAGAGACCGUGUCUUCCUAAAAACUUCUUUCUCUCCUUCUCUCUCUCUCUCUCUCUCCUUCUCUCUCUCUCUCUCUCUCUCUUUCUGUUUUUCCUCCCCAUUUUAUGCAACCCUCGUGCGCAAAGGAACGUACAAUCUUCUCUUUACACCCCCUCCCUCUUUCUCACCAACACGCAACCAACAUUUUUAUAGGUUAUCCUACGAACUCUCUUAUGUUUCGAGAAAAUUUUCAAAGGACUUUGAAACUGUUGUCUUUGGUACGAGUUCACGGGAAUGACAGAAUAAAACUGUUACAAGCGUGAUCUCUAUUUACACACAUCCAUAUUCGUACCAAAUUGGACAACCUGUUUUUGGAUCCUUAUCUGUUGGAGUUUCUGUAAGGCCUUCAUCUUGAACCAUAUCUUUUGGCGUUCCACUAUUAAUAUUUUUCGAUUCGUUUAUAACUGCGGAUACUUUGUUGUAUAUUAAAAAUGGACGUGCUUCUGUUUGCGAUUCGGUCCUUAAAUUCUGAUCUAACUGAACUGUGCGUCUAUCAUCCUCUUGCUCCUAUUAAUAUCUCGUUACAUUAUAUAUUAAUACUUAAAUUAUAUAUAACAUCUUACCGGUAAAGUGUUAGAAGGUGGUGGUGAAUCAUCGUUAUAAUAAACCGUUCUUCUAGUUCCUGGAUGGCCCAGUGAAAAUGCUUCGGAUCCUAAACUUUUGUUAUUCAUUGAUCCUGUGAUGUAUAUAUAAUUUUAUAAAUAUAUUUCUUAUUUUUCAUAA